rnacentral:rRNA from 1 species
CGGACGGGUGAGUAAUGUCUGGGAAACUGCCCGAUGGCGGGGGAUAACUACUGGAAACGGUAGCUAAUACCGCAUAACGUCGCAAGACCAAAGAGGGGACCUUCGGGCCUCUUGCCAUCGGAUGUGCCCAGAUGGGAUUAGCUAGUAGGUGGGGUAACGGCUCACCUAGGCGACGAUCCCUAGCUGGUCUGAGAGGAUGACCAGCCACACUGGAACUGAGACACGGUCCAG